AUUGAACGCUGGCGGCAGGCCUAACACAUGCAAGUCGAGCGAGCGGCGGACGGGUGAGUAAUGUCUGGGAAACUGCCUGAUGGAGGGGGAUAACUACUGGAAACGGUAGCUAAUACCGCAUACCAUCAAAUGUGCCCCAGGGGGAUUAGCUAGUAGGUGGGGUAACGGCGCAACUAGGCGACGAGCCCUAGCUGGUCUGAGAGGCUGACCAGCCACACGGGAACUGAGACACGGUCCAGACUCCGACGGGAGGAAGCAGUGGGGAAUAUUGCACAAUGGGCGCAAGCCUGAUGCAGCCAUGCCGCGUGUGUGAAGAAGGUCUUCGGAUUGUAAAGCAAUUUAAGUUGGGAGGCGUUACCAACAGAAUAAGCACCGGCUAACUUCGUGCCAGCAGCCGCGGUAAUUC
rnacentral:rRNA from 1 species